rnacentral:rRNA from 1 species
GAUGAACGCUAGCGGCAGGCCUAAUACAUGCAAGUCGAACGAUACCAGAGAGCUUGCUUUCUGGGAAAGUGGCGCACGGGUGCGUAACGCGUAUGCAACCUACCUUAAUCAGGGGGAUAGCCUCUCGAAAGAGAGAUUAACACCGCAUAAAAUCACACUUCGGCAUCGAAGAAUGAUCAAAUAUUUAUAGGAUUAAGAUGGGCAUGCGUGACAUUAGCUAGUUGGUGAGGUAACGGCUCACCAAGGCUACGAUGUCUAGGGGAUCUGAGAGGAUGACCCCCCACACUGGUACUGAGACACGGACCAGACUCCUACGGGAGGCAGCAGUAAGGAAUAUUGGUCAAUGGAGGCAACUCUGAACCAGCCAUGCCGCGUGCAGGAAGACGGCCCUAUGGGUUGUAAACUGCUUUUAUACGGGAAUAAACCUCUCUACGUGUGGAGAGUUGAAUGUACUGUAAGAAUAAGGAUCGGCUAACUCCGUGCCAGCCGCCGCAGUAAAAC